rnacentral:rRNA from 1 species
GACGAACGCUGGCGGCGUGCUUAACACAUGCAAGUCGAACGGAAAGGCUCCAGCUUGCUGGCGUACUCGAGUGGCGAACGGGUGAGUAACACGUGGGUGAUCUGCCCUUCACUUCGGGAUAAGCCUGGGAAACUGGGUCUAAUACCGGAUAGGACCGCACUUUGGUGUGUGUGGUGUAAAGGUUUUUCUGUUUUGUGAUGAGCUCGCGGCCUAUCGGUUUGUUGGUGGGGUAAUGGCCUACCAAGACGGCGACGGGUAGCCGGCCUGAGAGGGUGGACGGUCACAUUGGGACUGAGGGACGGCCGAGAUUCCUACGGGAGGGAGCAGGGGGGAAUAUUGAACAAUGGGGGAAACCCGGAUGCAGAGACGCCGCGGGGGGGAUGAAGGCCUUCGGGUUGUAAACUCCUUUCGCUAGGGACGAAGCUUUUUGUGACGGUACCUGGAGAAGAAGCACCGGCUAACUACGUG